rnacentral:misc_RNA from 1 species
AACGCACAUUGCGCUCGCCAGCAUUCUGGCGAGCAUGCCUGUUCGAGCGUCAUUUCAACCCUCAAGCACCGCUUGGUUUUGGGGCCCCACGGCCGACGUGGGCCCUUAAAGGUAGUGGCGGACCCUCCCGGAGCCUCCUUUGCGUAGUAACUAACGUCUCGCACUGGGAUCCGGAGGGACUCUUGCCGUUAAACCCCCACAUUUUUUCAGGUUGACCUCGGAUCAGGUAGGACUACCCGCUGAACUUAA